ACUCAAAUGAAUUGACGGGGGCCCGCACAAGCGGUGGAGUAUGUGGUUUAAUUCGAUGCAACGCGAAGAACCUUACCUGGUCUUGACAUGUCAGGAAUCCUGCAGAGAUGCGGGAGUGCCGAAAGGAGCCUGAACACAGGUGCUGCAUGGCUGUCGUCAGCUCGUGUCGUGAGAUGUUGGGUUAAGUCCCGCAACGAGCGCAACCCUUGUCCUUAGUUGCCAUCAUUCAGUUGGGCACUCUAAGGAGACUGCCGGUGACAAACCGGAGGAAGGUGGGGAUGACGUCAAGUCCUCAUGGCCCUUAUGACCAGGGCUACACACGUACUACAAUGGCCAAUACAGAGGGUCGCGAAGUCGCGAGAUGGAGCUAAUCCCAGAAAGUUGGUCGUAGUCCGGAUCGGAGUCUGCAACUCGACUCCGUGAAGUCGGAAUCGCUAGUAAUCGCGGAUCAGCAUUUGUCGCGGUGAAUACGUUCCCGGGCCUUGUACACACCGCCCGU
rnacentral:rRNA from 1 species